rnacentral:piRNA from 1 species
GUGAAGCCUUUGCUACUGAAACCAGC